AUGAGGCUUCCUUUUAUAGAGGACAUUACUGCUAGGGUUUUUGCUUUGAGCAAAGAUGGUGCGUCGGGACCAGACGGAUUCAGGGCUAUUUUUUAUCAAACUUAUUGGGAUAUUAUCAAGGUGGACGUCUCAAACGCGGUUUUGGACUUUUUUCGCACUGGAUGGAUUUUGCCUGGAUACAGUUCUAAUUCCAUAGUUCUAAUUCCCAAAAUCAAAGGAGCAGCGGGGUUUUAUACAUGGCAGACAAAUUCACGAUUGUAUUGGCUUAGCUUCGGAGGCGGUUAA